UUUCUCUUUGCUUCUUGCUGUACAGACUGUUGCCACGCUGGCUGGCUAGAUCGCUCUGCAAGAUGAAGCCAAGCCAUCUUUAUGGACCCUGACAGUCACAAACCCAAGGAAAUGAGUUCCACCCUCAGAAGCCAUGUGAAAAGGCAGCAUCGGUGAAGUAGUCAUCCUAAUACUGAGGAGAUAGUCAAAAUUAGAUGCCUGAAAAUUGAUGGCGAACCAGUCUAGCCUAACUGAAAGUCCCAGGCAAGGUCUAUACAAGGCAUGAUGCAGCUAGCUUUCCCAGAACUUGACCAUUAUCUUAAUUUUCUCAAAGUCCCUAAAGAUUACUACCAGCCAAAGACAAGAAGUAAUAUAGAGAACACAACACCCAAAUUCCAAAGACAUGAGCUGAUGGAAGCAGAAGCAGACACCCACAGCUAAACACUGAACUAAACUCUGGAAUUCAGUUGCAGAGAGGAAGAAGUGAUAAGCCAAGGAGUCAAAACCAGGGUGGAGAGACCCACAGAAACAGCUGAUCUGAAUAAGGUGGAGCUCAUGGACCCCAGACUGAAAGCUGAGAAUACAGCAUAGGACCAACAUAGACCCGCUGAAUGUGGGUGUCAGUUAGGAGGCCUGGCCAAUUUAUGGGGCCUCUAUCAGUAGAUAAAAAUUUAUCCCUGGUAUACCAAUGGACUUUGGGAGCUCAUCCCACAUGGAGUGAUUCUCUCUCAGCCUGGACACAUGGAGGAUGCCUAGACCCUGCCCAGUAUGAUAUGACAGACUUUGGAGAACCCCCAUA